rnacentral:rRNA from 1 species
UACGAAGGGGGCUAGCGUUGCUCGGAAUCACUGGGCGUAAAGCGCAUGUAGGCGGAUCAUUAAGUCGGGGGUGAAAUCCUGGAGCUCAACUCCAGAACUGCCUUCGAUACUGAAGAUCUCGAGUCCGGGAGAGGUGAGUGGAACUCCGAGUGUAGAGGUGAAAUUCGUAGAUAUUCGGAAGAACACCAGUGGCGAAGGCGGCUCACUGGCCCGGUACUAACGCUGAGGUGCGAAAGCGUGGGGAGCAAACAGG